rnacentral:misc_RNA from 1 species
ACGAGUUAGGGUCUUUUAGGCCUGACCUCCCAACCCUUUGUUUAUCAAACCUCUGUUGCUUCGGCGGACCCGUCUCACGACCGCCGGAGGACCGCUGAAAGGCGUCCUCUGGCCAGCGUCCGCCGAUAGCCAAACACUUAAAAUUCUGAAUGAAUCGUGUCUUCUGUCUAAGUCUAUGAUUAAAUUAAAAGCA